AUUGAACGCUGGCGGAGUGCUUUACACAUGCAAGUCGAACGGCAGCACGGACUUCGGUCUGGUGGCGAGUGGCGAACGGGUGAGUAAUGUAUCGGAACGUGCCCAGUCGUGGGGGAUAACGUAGUGAAAAUUACGUUAAUACCGCAUACGAUCUAUGGAUGAAAGCGGGGAAUCGCAAGACCUCGCGCGAUUGGAGCGGCCGAUAUCAGAUUAGGUAGUUGGUGGGGUAAAGGCCCACCAAGCCAACGAUCUGUAGCUGGUCUGAGAGGACGACCAGCCACACUGGAACUGAGACACGGUCCAGACUCCUACGGGAGGCAGCAGUGGGGAAUUUUGGACAAUGGGCGAAAGCCUGAUCCAGCCAUUCCGCGUGCAGGAUGAAGGCCCUCGGGUUGUAAACUGCUUUUGUACAGAACGAAAAGGUUUCUACUAAUACUAGGAGCUCAUGACGGUACUGUAAGAAUAAGCACCGGCUAACUACGUGCCAGCAGCCGCCGUAA
rnacentral:rRNA from 1 species